UGCAGUCGAACGGCAGCAUGAUCUAGCUUGCUAGAUUGAUGGCGAGUGGCGAACGGGUGAGUAAUACAUCGGAACGUGCCCUGUAGUGGGGGAUAACUAGUCGAAAGAUUAGCUAAUACCGCAUACGACCUGAGGGUGAAAGUGGGGGACCGCAAGGCCUCAUGCUAUAGGAGCGGCCGAUGUCUGAUUAGCUAGUUGGUGGGGUAAAGGCCCACCAAGGCGACGAUCAGUAGCUGGUCUGAGAGGACGAUCAGCCACACUGGGACUGAGACACGGCCCAGACUCCUACGGGAGGCAGCAGUGGGGAAUUUUGGACAAUGGGCGAAAGCCUGAUCCAGCAAUGCCGCGUGUGUGAAGAAGGCCUUCGGGUUGUAAAGCACUUUUGUCCGGAAAGAAAUGGCUCUGGUUAAUACCUGGGGUCGAUGACGGUACCGGAAGAAUAAGGACCGGCUAACUACGUGCCAGCAGCCGCGGUAAUACGUAGGGUCCAAGCGUUAAUCGGAAUUACUGGGCGUAAAGCGUGCGCAGGCGGUUGUGCAAGACCGAUGUGAAAUCCCCGAGCUUAACUUGGGAAUUGCAUUGGUGACUGCACGGCUAGAGUGUGUCA
rnacentral:rRNA from 1 species